rnacentral:lncRNA from 1 species
CUACGUGUCUUGUUGAUAUCUAAUAAGAGCUCACAAGUAGUGUAUAUAUCCUCGGAGUUUAUUGUUGCAUCCUUUUCCAAAUUCUAUCUCUUAGGUAACCAAAAACAAUGGAGUGGGAAACAUCUCUCAAAAGCAGGUGAGAGGUUCUCAUCAAGGGCCAGUUUGGGUUAGUUUCUUUAUGAAAACACUGAAGAUACAAUUUUCGUUAAUGAGAUUUUAUAAAUUACUCCCUCCGUCCCAAAUGAUAUGGGAAAGAUAAAUGAAAAAAUUGAAAAAAGAAAGAGUAAUAAAUAGUUAAGGAUAUAAUAGGAAAAAUAACAUUAAUGUUUCAUUGGUAUUCUAAAGUGACAUACAAUUUAGGACAAAUAUUUUUUCUAAAGUGACAUACAAUUUGGGACGGAGGGAGUAAAAUAAAGACUAUUACUUUUCACACCCUGCUGCCUUCUCGCGCGCCCUGCAAAAUUUCCAAAAAUACCCCUGGUCUGGAUUACGUAAUCCGGACCAGAUUGUUAGUGAUUUCCGGAAAAUUAAAUCCGGACCAGAUGUUAUGGGUUUUUUUGUGUCUUUCUUUGAUGUCAAUGGUCUCUGUUGACUGUUAUAUGAACCCCACACAAGCUACAAUGCUAUUGCAGGGUUCAUAUGAACGGUCAACAAUGACCAUGACACCACCAACACUCCUAAAAGCUACCUAAAAAACUAAUUAUUUUUUUUUUUCCGUAGAAAAUGGAAGAAAAGAGGUGAAGUGAGAAAAAUGCUAGAUAUCAAGAAUGAUUUUAUAAGAAAGAUUCAAGAAUGACAUGGCACAAUAAUCACCCUUAGAUUUCAGUCUCAUUUAUUAACCUUUCAUAAAAAAAAAAUACAUAACACCCACCACCCCAUGAUUUCCGGCUAGGCUGAGAUUUUAUUGGCUAACAUUAAUUUCAGGACGAUUUCUUGAUAAAAUCUAAGGGUGAUUAUUCUGCCAUGUCAUUCUUGAAAUUUUCUUGAUAAAAUAUUUCUUGAUAUAUAGCAUUGCUCGUGAAGUGAAGAAUGAAGGUAUUUGUUGAAGAUGGAAGCCUAUAUAUAGCCUAAAACAAGUCCUAUGUCAUUACUACGGUCAAUGAAAACGUGUUAGUGGUUGUAACUGUCCAAACCGACAUUAAUGGCUCUCUUUCAAAAGAAUCAAAUGUUGAAGCUUUCCGGAUUUUACAUUCCAGAAUGUCCUUAGCCCUACAGGAAGUGCCAACUUUUCCCUCGUUUACCAUUAUCGCAUUAAUCCGGAAAAUAUAUUUCGGAAAACAGAUGUGCGUUUCGGAUUUUAUAUUCCGGAAUGCAUCAGUCAUGGCCGGUGGUCUGCACCCCACGUUUUUGUCGGUGGUCAAGUCAAAAAAACACAUUUUACCACGUUUUUUGACUGCAUUUAUGGCCUCCCAACCGUUUUUGACCAACCCCUCCCUAUAAAUAGCCUUCCAAACCCCACCAUUUCUCACACAAUCCUCUCCCACCCUCUCCUCUUCUUCCGUCUACAACCAUGGUUUUCCAUCGUUGGCCUUUCAUAGAUAAGGGCCUCGUUGAAAACUUUCAGGGUUUGUAUGAACGGUCAAUGAGGAUGGAACCGCGCUGCAACGAAGUGCGGUUCAUCUGAGGGUCAUGUGGGUAAGUGUGGUUCUUAGCUUGUCAUGUCCGGGCGUAAGUUUGAGCACCCCCCCGCCUCCCCCAGGGCAUUGUUUUCUUCUUCCUGCCCUCCUCUUCCCUCCUCCUCCGGUUUUCCUCCAAUAGGGAACCUACUGCUAUGUCCUAUCACAUAGCAGUGGUUAGGAUCUUAGGAGAUUAGAAUUAGGC